UAAGAAAGUGAGUGCUGAAGUUGACUUUAGAAUUGUGGACAAUGAGGAGGUGGCAUUGCUUCAAAUACAGAAACUCUUUCCUUUCAACAACAAAAGGCUUUCUUUUCAAGUUAAGAUCAUGUCUUAAAAACAAAGCUAAAGAGCACAAGAAUGGUAUGGUGAGUCUUUACAAAGACAUGGAGGCUUGUGGAGGAUAUGAAGACAUACAAGUGAUGUGGGAGAUGAUUCAGUCUUCUUCUACAAAGGCCAAUAACACCAAUAAAACUCGUUACUGGAGAUUUCAUUUUGCUACAACUUAAAUAUUAUUCGUCGGAACAGUUAUUCAUAUGAAAACUUUCUACAAAGAUAGUGAAUAAGAUCCGAGUACAAUUUAUUUAUGCUCCAAGCUCGGUUCUUUGUCGAAGUUAUAUAUUUGGAAUUGCGAUGUAAUUGAUCAAGUGUGUUGAUGAUGUAGAAAUAGCAUAGUUCAAAGUUCAAAUAGUAAAGAAAAUGUCCUUAGUGACAUAUAUAGUAAAAGAAUGAUUAAAGAUAUUAAAUGAAGUUUUUUGAGGUGAUCCUCAUUUACCAUGCAAA